UUCUUUUCGUGCCGAAUCAGAUUCAUGAAGUUUUACUCAACUUUCAGGGCAUACCAACUGUACAAAUUUAAUGAUGGGAUUUGUCCGAAUAGAGCGACUACGCAGGGGUUGAAAGGCUUCCCUGUAAAGUGUGCUCAACAAGUCGGUGCCCGCGAGUGUGGCUAUUACAUUAUGAAGUUCAUGCAUGAAAUAGUCACGUUACACCAUAACUCUGAUGAGCGGUUAGAUAAUGCUUACACUCCAAGAAAUGCGCCUUAUACCGAUGAGGAAAUAGAUGUGGUUCGUGAGCUAUGGGCUAAGUUUUUUACAACCGAGUAUUUAUUUACUUAGGUUGUUUAGACACAAAGAUGGAAGCGUUUAUAUCUUCAUGGAUUUGGCUAGGGAUCGAGUCGAUUGGAAGAAAGUCAACACGACCUUACUUAAGGUUUGUAAUGCAUGAUCUAAAGGGACCUAAGUGGCUGGAUUAGAGACAUUUGUUAGAUUAGCUCUCUAGCCUUUUGUCUUUAGUUGUUAAUAUUAGUUGUAAUUUGUUAGACUAGCUAGGUGUUUAAAAAUUGUAAACAUACGUACUAUAUAUACGCUUUGCUCUGUUGGGUUAAUA